CUGUUUCUUCUAAAACGAGUUAUUCUACCGGCGGUAUAGCCCGCGAGCGCAAGCUAAUUCGGUUAGAACCCGAAGCCGACAGUACGGUCUGGAUGAGAGAAGAAAGCC
rnacentral:ncRNA from 1 species